AUUAAAAAUAUUCAGUGCACACAUCAGCUUAAAAGCACUUAAAACCCAUCGAAGUGCAGCUUGAUAUCCCAGCGUGCUGCCUGCUUUGGCCUCAUCCAACAAGACACCAAGACACUCAACCACGUUAGUCAUCGCCGUGGUUUCAAAAAACAUUCUGCAAUUUACCUGCAAAAUGGAAUUACUGUUUAUGGCUGUUAGCAGUUGCAACAUUUCUUUACGCCCGGUGACCCCCAUUUCCAUGUGCCCAGCUCCCAGAAGGCGGCUGAGUCUGGUGCGGGGACGGCUCAAAGCACACAGGCUCCAGGGGGGCUGCUCCAACGGGACGAGUGUCUGCGGGAGGAAUUGCCAAGCCCUGCAAAGCCCGCCUAGCCCACCUGUGUCCUGGGGGCUCGCCCUCAGCUCUGAAUGAUCAGAAGGCUCAAGGAAGGCCAGUGUUCUGCAGUGUCCUUCGGCGGUGCCGUCUGGUGGGGAAGGAGCUCGCAACAGCUGCAAGAACCGACCCCUGUGAGCUUUCUGCCCACGAUAACCCCAGAAAUUUCAAGCAACAGUUCUUGGAAACCAUAUGGAGAUCAGCCUGGGAGUUUUGCAAGACUACCCUACAGGCUACGAGCCAGGAUAGAGAGCCUGAACGAGUCUUCUCCACUCUGCUGGCCACAAAAUGGCAUUCAAUUUCAUGGCUGGAGAAUAAAAAACACCUUUACGCUUAGUUAG
rnacentral:lncRNA from 1 species